rnacentral:lncRNA from 1 species
GCUAAAUAUUUGGUUUAAACACAAGAUUUUACAAGUGAGUAAAAAUAAUAAUAAUAAAAAAAAGACCACCAAAAAAAGAAAAGGAAAAAGGAAAGGAAAAAUAAAAAUGAAAUAAAUGUAAAUGUAAAUAUAAAUAUUGAUAUUAAAUAAUAAAAAAUAAAUAAAAUAAAUUAGUAUCAUUUCAUCCCUAUUUCAUAUAGUAAUGGGCAAAAAGUGUCAUAUACAACACCUCCCCACUUUACUUAAGUGUAAGAUUUUUCAUCUUCAGAUAUUCGAUGAUCAGACAGAAUGUACAACAGCGAGAGUGGGGUCUGGGCUACAUUGUCAAUGUACAAAACCUAAAAUUAUAUUCUAAAUUCUCUUCUUACUGGGGAGGAUGCCCAAACUGUAGAUGAUCCUGAGUGACUAGGAAAAGAAUAUAUAUAUAACACAAAUACUCUGUUCUGUGGUUGUGACAACAGAUUUCUUGGUACUCUUUCAGCAGAUGGUGCAUUGUGACAACUAUUUAUCCCUCUGACCAAUGCUGCCUUUUUGUUGCCUUCUGUUCUCUCAUUGGCAUGUCAUCUCCACCUGUUGCCUGCUUUUAUGUGCUCAGGACUUGUCCGCGGGAGUGUUCCUGCACCGUACUAAGUGGAUUCAGCAGGUGUUGGCAUUAUGCACUCGAUGUAAAUCUGCCUUUAACAGUAGACAAAGCAACAAGAGAGGACACUUCCUCACUACGUUUGCACAAUGAGGACAACAGUGAGAGGGUGAGGAAAGAACUGCUUUAUAACUAGAAUCCUUCAUCUCACUUAAAAGUGAAGAUAUAUUUUCUACAGAUAAUUUACAAAGGACAAAGUUAACUGAUGUGUUAAGAGACUGGACAGGUCCUACACUGCUGGCCAUAUCUUACCCUGCAGAAGUACUGGAUAUUGUUAUAUACUGCAACGCAAAACUUUAUUUUAACUUCUUCAUCACUUGAGCAGCAUAUGUAUGUGUAUCUGUCUAGAUAGAUAGCAGACAGACCAAUGAACAUAUUAACGACAUUUCAUCAGGUGUCACAGUGUGUUGAAAGAAAAUUUAUCUCCUGCAGGUCAUCACUAAUACCAUCGCAGUGAGGAGUAUGUAAUAACUUUUAGUUGUCAAUAGUGUAAUAGCAGAGGUGUUUACCAUGUAGACGAUCUAUUACAUUUUUAUGGGGCUGUCUGGGAAAUUUUAUAGGACUGAAUAUAAUCCAGGUUGCUAAAUUACAUGAAGCUGGUGUGAGUGAACAAUUUUAUGUUCAAAUAGACUUAAAGAAAACACAUUAUUAACAAACAUAUUAAAACAACUUUCAUUAGUGAAGAUAUCAGUAGCCAACAUAAAUUAUCUGACUAAUCUUUCCUUUAA